GCCAGGUGUGGAAAUGCCUACCUGUAGUCCCAGCUACUUGGGAGGCUGAGGUAGGAGUAUCAUUUUAGCCCAGGAACUGGAGACUGCAGUGAGACAUGAUUAUGCCACUGCACUCCAGCCUGGGCAACAGAGUGAGACCCUGUCUCUA
ensembl:misc_RNA Metazoa_SRP Metazoan signal recognition particle RNA